GACGUAGGUGACAAGCGUUGUCCGGAUUUACUGGGCGUAAAGAGCGCGCAGGCGGUCGAUCAAGUCGAGUGUGAAAGCCCCCGGCUCAACUGGGGAGGGUCAUUCGAUACUGAUCGACUCGAAGGCAGGAGAGGGUAGUGGAAUUCCCGGUGUAGUGGUGAAAUGCGUAGAUAUCGUAAGGAAGACCAGUGGCGAAGGCGAAUCUCUGGACAGUUACUGACACUGAGGCACGAAGGCCAGGGGAGCAAACGGG
rnacentral:rRNA from 1 species